rnacentral:misc_RNA from 1 species
UUGAGGGUUGUUUACUGGU